rnacentral:rRNA from 1 species
AGAGUUUGAUCAUGGCUCAGAACGUACGCUGGCGGCACGCCUAACACAUGCAAGUCGAACGAAGUAGCAAUACUUAGUGGCAGACGGGUGAGUAACAUGUGGGUAUCUACCCUUUGGCCUGGAAUAACACGAGGAAACUUGUGCUAAUACUGGAUAAGUCUUUACCGAGAAAGCUUUAUGCACCAUUGGAUGAGCCUGCACUUGAUUAGUUUGUUGGUGGGGUAAUGGCCUACCAAGACUGUGAUCAAUAGCUGAUUUGAGAGGAUGAUCAGCCACAUUGGGACUGAGACACGGCCCAAACUCCUACGGGAGGCAGCAGUGGGGAAUCUUGCACAAUGGAGGAAACUCUGAUGCAGCGAUGCCGCGUGAGUGAAGAAGGCCCUUGGGUUGUAAAGCUCUUUCGUCGGGGAAGAAAAUGACUGUACCCGAAUAAGAAGGUCCGGCUAACUUCGUGCCAGCAGCCGCGGUAAUACGAAGGGACCUAGCGUAGUUCGGAAUUACUGGGCUUAAAGAGUUCGUAGGUGGUUGAAAAAGUUGGUGGUGAAAUCCCAGAGCUUAACUCUGGAACUGCCAUCAAAACUUUUCAGCUAGAGUAUGAUAGAGGAUAGCAGAAUUUCUAGUGUAGAGGUGAAAUUCGUAGAUAUUAGAAAGAAUACCAAUUGCGAAGGCAGCUUUCUGGAUCAUUACUGACACUGAGGAACGAAAGCAUGGGUAGCGAAGAGGAUUAGAUACCCUCGUAGUCCAUGCCGUAAACGAUGUGUGUUAGACGUUGGGAAUUUAUUUUCAGUGUCGCAGCGAAAGCGAUAAACACACCGCCUGGGGAGUACGACCGCAAGGUUAAAACUCAAAUGAAUUGACGGGGACCCGCACAAGUAGUGGAGCAUGUGG